UAGGAAUGUUUUAUCAGUUUAAAACUGAACCA
rnacentral:piRNA from 1 species